GUGAAUAUAGUUUAACUAAAACACCAGUCCGUGAAUCUGGAAACAGAAACUUAAAACUUCUUAUUCACC
rnacentral:tRNA from 1 species